UUAAUUGAAACCAAAAAGAGGUGAAUUAUUGUUAAUAAUUUUAUUGAAUUAUAAAUUCCAAUUAAU
rnacentral:tRNA from 1 species